GCCGAUGUAGCUCAGCGGCAGAGCAACUGAUUCGUAAUCAGUUGGUCGAGGGUUCAAGUCCCUCCAUCGGCU
rnacentral:tRNA from 1 species